GAUCACGUGCGGCUCCACCAUGUCGGGACAGGCUGCUCAGUUUCCACCGGCUGACAUGAGAAGUACCAACAAAGGCCUGAAGAUGUUUGCACAACGAUAGGAAAAGAGGCUCUCUCUCUCCCUCUCCCUCUCUCACACACUCACACACCCUCCAGGAUCUUAGGAAAGAGCGUCUCCUGUGCAGUUAAAGGAUGUGGAGAAGGAAGUGGAACAACUGCUCGAGCUGCUAUAAACCAGUCGCCACCCAACUGACUGCUGACAGGCUGACUGACUUGUUAACAGACAGGUUGUAUCUCUCCAUAUAGAACCCGUUCAUGCAUAAUUUUACAUCUCAUUCUCAUUACAAAACCAAUAAAAACCGAGCCGUAACCAUUUAACAGCCUUUUAAUAACAGAAAAAACAGGGUUCAAAAGGUCUGCACCUUUUAAACUGUAUCCUCUCAUGUUUCAAAUAUUCAGUCCUCACAAACAGAUGUACACACGGGUGCAUGUCUAAAUUACCUGGACCACACCUCGCUCUCCCAGUGUGGUGCAUGUGUGUGUGCCACAACAAAACAUUCCUCAAAGUCGGAGUUGCUCAACUCCUGAUGCGUGAUAACAUUUUAUGAACAGGCUAAAACUCUACAUACCUGUGCUGCUCGGAAAUAAUGAGCGAUAAAUGUGACCCCCUCUGUAGAUAAAACUUUUAUCCACCUCACACUGAUGCUGAAGUGUAACCUUUAAAGCUGCAGUAUGUAACUUUCAAUUAUGUUUUUUUUUGUUGUUCAUGUUGUUUUUCUGCCUCUGGUCUUUGUGACACAAGAGCUGUAACAUUGCCGUGUCCUUUAUCUGUCGAGCAAAACUAUCAGACCUGACUGAAGGAGCGGCAACCUGCCGUCUAGCAGAGCGUGUCAUCUUGUCAAGCUGCCAAGCAGUUUUUUAAGCAGUACUUUUCGUGCUUUCAGUCUUACUCCAACCUGUUUGCAGCUGUUGGAGUAGUGCAAUGUUGCUGUUGCCUCUAUUUGUCUUGACAUAAAACUAUAUCCUUCCUGUUUGCAGUACGGGUGGGAAUCUUUAGGUGCCUCACGAUACGAUUAUGAUUGGAUUAUAAAACGAUCGGGGAUGCAUCUUGAUGCACUUUCACUCAGUGUUUUGAGAGUCUUUGUCUCACUGUGUGAUCACUCACCACUUACCCACCCCUAUUUUUUUUUUCUAGCAACAGUGUAUUUGUGAUGAGAAACAAGAGUUUAAUUCAUUUCCAUUAUCUUUUAUUAAACUUGUUAUAAACUGGAGAGUUACAACUACAUUGUAUAAAAUAACAUCUUGAAUCACAAUUCACAUAUUUAAGACAAAUAUGUUUAACAGCUCAGCAUCAUUAUCACCCGCGUGGCUCUCAUUCAUUGCUCUUGUUUGGAGCACAUGUGACAUUAGCCUCCAGUCAUCGGUGAUAAAGUGCGUCGUUAUAGUGACAUAAGAUUGACUUCUGUUUUGGUUUUGUUGUCAAGUGUCGGGGAUCGACAUGUCAGUGGAAUAGCGUUGUUGUAUCUCGUCUAUUUCACGUUACUUAACAUUUAAAUAAUAUGAUUUUAGACAUUUGUGAAUCGAUUCAGAGUCGUCCAUGUCCAAAUCACAAUCCAUCUAAGAAUCAAUGUUUUUCCCCAUGUGGUGACACCAGCUCUAAACUAUAGCUACACUGAAAAACAUACUUUUUCAGUAUUCAUGAUUGUGUGAACUCAAAUGACCAUGGUUUGAAUGUAACAGACAUUUGUUUAUAUUUAAGAGUUACACACUA